GAUUAUUUUUGACUUUGGCCACUUUAUUCACGUGGGUUUUGAUGGUUGGCAUUUUGUUUGAGUGGUGAGCAUUUUUGUUGGGAGUCAAUGGAAUUGCCUUUAUAAAGAGUCUAUUUUGUAACUUUGUAAUGAUACAAAGAGAAAGAAAAAUAGAGGAAAACAAAGUGAGCCGAGAAAGACACAGAGAGACCAGAGUUACAGAGAGAAGUCGUGAGGUUGCAGAGGAAGCCGGGAGCUUGAGGCUUUGAUAUUCUAGUGAGGAAAAUUCUUUUUUCAAGGUGUUCGUCAGUAGCAGGCUUAGAGCUUGAUCGUGUUGAUGCAGAUACAGACACUUACUCUUUCGAUUACAUAGGAUUUCCUUUCUAUUUUAGUUUUGGAUAUCGGUAUGUAAAUUAUUUUCAUUUGGGGAUUGUUAGGGGUCCACCAGAUGGAUUCCCAAGUUGUACGGAUUUGAAGAAUUUAAAUUAUUUUAAUUUAUUAUUUAAAGUUUGAGAAUUUUAAUUUUAGUUUUCUUUCAGCGCA